AAAACCUUUAAGAAUAGUCCUGUGAGGCUAGGAAGGAUAUAAAGACAAUAGUUUUGUAUUUUUUUAGGAUACAACUAUGCCUUCCUGCUUAAAGGAAGGCAUUUUUUAAU
rfam:Clostridiales bacterium oral taxon 876 str. F0540 genomic scaffold Scaffold50, whole genome shotgun sequence.